UACCAUAAUUGAAAUUGUUCAUUCCCAGAUUCAUCGAAACCCAGAUCUCCGUAACUCAUUUCACAACAUUCACUCAGUGUUCUCCUCUCAUAAAAAACACUCUCACCCCAUUAAACCCUAAACUGCGAUUUCUCACCUCUCUCGCCUAACAAUUCAUCUGCAAAAUUCUCAAAUUUUUUAUCACCGUCUCCAUUUCCGACGGCUAUCGGAAGAGGAUUCUCUCACCAUUGAUGUUGAUUUCACUGUUAUCGGAAGAGGAUGAUGUCGAAGUCAGUUCUUGCACGAUAAUUGUUUUUCUUCCGGCAGCACGGUAAUUAUUCCGGCGGUGAAACUUCAUCUACAAAAUGAUUUAGUGUUCGGCCGUGGUGCUUUUCUCUUUCACUGAAGGGUACAGAAUUAGGGUUCGGUUGUGGUCUUCAUUUUAGUGAUUUUCUUAUAAUAACCUCUAGAACAAUACCAGUAGAUGGUAACUUUCAAUUAUUCAGAAAUCACUUGCAUUGUCAACAUUGGAAGGAUAUAGUGGCUAUGGAGCUGAACAGGGAGAAAAGCUUGAAAAACCAAUGGAGGGUCUGGAAGACUGGUUGGAAGCAGUUUAUAAUGCUCGCAUCCCCUGUGCUGUUGUUUCAAGUCUUGAUAGAAAAAAUGUGGUAGAAGCUUUGGAACGAAUGAGGCUCAAUAAGUAUUUUCAGGUUAUAUUCAAAGAGCCAGAGAUCCUUUUUUCGAACAUUAUCAUGGCCAUUGGUAUUGUCGAGGAACUUCUGCUGUAUUCCCACGAGGAACUUCUGCUGUAUCAUACAUCGAGUUAAACUUUUUCUGAGGACUAGAUACAAGAUACGCGCAACCUUAUUCAUGCUGUUACUUCAAGCUAUGGGAGAUGGAAUAUGUCUUUUAGCUCACAGUCACGCCCAAUUCGCCUUACAGUUACCUGUGCUGUAUGUCACUACUAUAACACUGCUUUACAUAUUUUACCUUGUGCUUGCAUGUUAGAUUGUUUAAAACUGUGUUGCAUAGUCUUACAUUUAGAAGUCGCGGAAAAUGCACAAUUCUAUAGUACGCUAUGAACUGUGUUGCAUUAGAGAAUGUUCUGAAUUCAUAAACCAACAGUUUUCUGAAAUUUUGUCAUACUUUAUAAGUCAAUGUUUUAUGCUAACAGUUGAAUACUAGUAUAACUGCAUUUAUGUAGCUUAGUAGUUCAUAUAGAUGUUGAAGUCUGUAUAUCUAGACAGUUUGACUGAUAUUAUGUUAAGACAUCAGUUGUUUCCAGUAUUUUUCUAUUGUUUCUGAAUGGUUUCCCUCCUCCACUCCACAUAACUAUGCGUUUUGGGGAGUGUAUCUUCCAUUUUCUGCUUAUGCUG